AUGGACAAGGUCUUGAAAGCAUUGUUUUUAGUCCUAGGCCUUCACCUAGCAGGGGUGAGUGGCCAGCAGAAGGAAAGACGUGACCAGCAGCAGGUGAGACAAAGUCCCCAAUCUCUGAGAGUCUGGGAAGGAGGGACCACAGUUCUGAACUGCACUUAUGAGAACAGUGCAUUUGACUACUUCCCAUGGUACCGGCAGUUCCCUGGUGGAGGCCCUGCUCUCCUGAUAGCCAUACGUUCAGUGUCCAAUAAAAAGGAAGAAGGACGAUUCACAGUCUUCUUCAGUAAGAGCGACAAGCAGCUCUCCUUGCACAUCGCAGACUCUCAGCCUGGAGAUUCCGCCACCUACUUCUGUGCAGCAAGUGCACAGUGCUUCGCAGACACCUGCAGCCCAGACCCAAACCUGCAGCUGAGGCUCCAGCAAAGCCUGCAGCAGGGCUGA